AGCCUGAUGCAGCGACGCCGCGUGAGGGAUGACGGCCUUCGGGUUGUAAACCUCUUUCGACAGGGACGAAGCGCAAGUGACGGUACCUGUAGAAGAAGCACCGGCCAACUACGUGCCAGCAGCCGCGGUAAUACGUAGGGUGCGAGCGUUGUCCGGAAUUACUGGGCGUAAAGAGCUUGUAGGCGGUUCGUCGCGUCGAUCGUGAAAACGUGCAGCUCAACUGCACGCUUGCGGUCGAUACGGGCGGACUAGAGUACUGCAGGGGAGACUGGAAUUCCUGGUGUAGCGGUGAAAUGCGCAGAUAUCAGGAGGAACACCGGUGGCGAAGGCGGGUCUCUGGGCAGUAACUGACGCUGAGAAGCGAAAGCGUGGGUAGCGAACAGGAUUAGAUACCCUGGUAGUCCACGCCGUAAACGGUGGGCGCUAGGUGUGGGUUUCCUUCCACGGGAUCCGUGCCGUAGCUAACGCAUUAAGCGCCCCGCCUGGGGAGUACGGCCGCAAGGCUAAAACUCAAAGGAAUUGACGGGGGCCCGCACAAGCGGCGGAGCAUGUGGAUUAAUUCGAUGCAACGCGAAGAACCUUACCUGGGUUUGACAUACACCAGAAAGCCGUAGAGAUACGGCCCCCCUUGUGGUUGGUGUACAGGUGGUGCAUGGCUGUCGUCAGCUCG
rnacentral:rRNA from 1 species